CCGCUUUCGGAGGAGCCCGCGCCCGAUUAGCUAGUUGGUGAGGUAACGGCUCACCAAGGCUUCGAUCGGUAGCCGGCCUGAGAGGGUGAUCGGCCACACCGGAACUGAGACACGGUCCGG
rnacentral:rRNA from 1 species